rnacentral:lncRNA from 1 species
GGGCUGCCGCGCCCAGCCGGGCUGCCGCCGCUCCUCAAGCUCGACUCUCGUCCCGCUGCCCCUCCUCUGGCCCGCUCGCCCGCCCGCCACGGGCUUCAGAGCGGCGUUGCCGGACCUUUUCUUUCCCGAAGGGCGGGCAAGAGGAGCCUGUGGGGAGGCCUGAGGGGAUUUUCAUGCCCGCAGACCCCCCGUGAACACCCAUCAGGGGCUUCCUUACCUGGUCGGCUCCACCCGCGGCCAUCUUGGAAGUGGGAAGCGCCCGGGAGGGGGAAGGGGCACGAGCGGGCAGCGACAAGGCGUGGGGAGCCGAGCAGCGGAGCGCAUCGAUGGGCGCCCCUGCCCCCGAGCAGGUGCGCAGGGGAGGAAGAGCCCGGACCCCACCUGGCCGCCUGCGAGAGACCAGUCACCAGGUCCCCAGCGGGUAGCCAGGGCCCACACGGAGGAGGGGGAAGAGCGUAGCCUGCCUGAGCCCUGCGCAGUGUGUGUCUACCCUCUUCGUCCUCGCAGUCGCCCAUGUCGCCGAGAAGAACUGAGGCUCAUGCGGGGGAACGUUACAUGCCCACGGCCCCAUAGCUGCGAAGGACACCAGCAGGAUUGGCAACCAGGCCGUCUGGCUCCAGGUAACAUACAAUGUGGUGCUUGUUUGGUGAUGACAGACGGGGCACCUGGGGUGAGGCCCUGCCCAUGCCACACUCUCCCCACCCCUCCUUCCCCACUGCCCCUCCACAAGAGACCCCAUUUUUUUCCAGCCCCUGAGAAGCAGUUGAUGAUAGUAGAGAACAUCAGCUUUCACGUCAGGCAGAUCUGGGCUGGAAUCCCAGCUCUGGUGUUUACUGUGUGACUUUGAGCAAGUUACUUAACCUCUCUGAACCUCGGAUUCCUCUUUCAGAGGAAGGGGUGUCCCACAUACCUCAGGUCGGGGAGGGGUUUAAUACGUGUUGUCUUUCUUCCUGAC